CAUGACUUGUGUCUUGAAUGAGAACUUGUUCCUUCCUCAGAACAUGUUCUUGAUGAGAAUUCUACCCACAACCCCACAGGCAGUCACGUCCUGCAGCAGAUGGCAGCACUGGAGUGGCAAUCGGCAGAGAGGAGAUACCCCACGUCCAAGGUCGGAAAAGCCCCAGUAAGACGGUAAGCGCUGGAGCAGCUGCGAGGAGCUACCCCACAUCCAAGGGCAAAGGAGAAGCUCCAGCAAGACGGUAGAAGGGGCGAAUUCGCGUUUAGAAUCAAACCUCGGUUCCGCCAGAGACACUCAGAAGGCUCAAACAGACCUUGUGCGCACUGGGACCCAGGGACUACACAGAGACAGAGACAGAAUUGUGUUUGAGUGUCUCCAGUGGAGGGGAUAUUACAGACCUAGGGAUUGAACCUGGAUCUCCUGCGUCUCCUUCAUCGGCAGGUGAAUUCUUCACCACUACACCACUUGGAAGUCCCUUGCCUUAAAGUAGGAGAAGCUCUAAAAGACCAUCCCAGCAAUAAAGCUAAGUAUGGGCUCAAACUUUUGUUGAGACCCAUUGCAGCUCAAGUCUUCCAUCUGUACAAUCCUGCUCCUUUACCCUGUACUGCUGUUGAUCUUCAAAAUUGUCCCCAAUAAAUGCCUUACACACCUAU